UACGAAGGGGGCUAGCGUUGCUCGGAAUCACUGGGCGUAAAGCGCACGUAGGCGGAUUGCUAAGUCAGGGGUGAAAUCCUGGAGCUCAACUCCAGAACUGCCUUUGAUACUGAAGAUCUUGAGUCCGGGAGAGGUGAGUGGAACUGCGAGUGUAGAGGUGAAAAUUCGUAGAUAUUCGCAAGAACACCAGUGGCGAAGGCGGCUCACUGGCCCGGUACUGACGCUGAGGCACGAAAGCGUGGGGAGCAAACAGG
rnacentral:rRNA from 1 species